ensembl:lncRNA
CACUGCCCCCUCUUUGUCAAAGCCGCAAAGGCUGUUUGGUAUUCAAGAUGGGAGUAGAUAGCUGCACUCAGUCGCUCAGUUGCUCAGUCAUAUCCAACUCUUUGCGACCCUAUGGACUUGUAGCCCGCCAGGCUCCUCUGUCCAUGGGAUUUUCCAGGCAAGAAUACUGGAGUGGGUUGCCAUUUCCUUCUCCAGGGGAUCUUCCUGACCCAGGGAUUGAACCCACCUCUCUUGCGUCUCCUGCAUUGGCAGGCAGGUUCUUUACCACUAGCGCCACCUGGGAAGCCCCAGAAGUAGGAUCUAGGGAAAAACAAAACUGGACCCUGACCAACUUUGGAACCUGACCUAACCUCAAAGGCACCAUCUCUCCUGACUGUCCUUUGUACCUGAACCUGGCUGUUUCUGGACCAAACCUUGGACAGCUGAAGAUUCUUCCUUGUUUUAAACAUAUUUUUAAUAUUUAUUUUUAUUUAUUUGGCUGCACUGGAUCUUAGUCAUGGUAUGCAAGAUUUUCGAUCUUCGUUGCGGUAUGUGAAGUUGUAGUUGUGGCAUGUAGUAUCUAGUUCCCUGACCAGGGAUCGAAUCUGGGCCCCUGCAUUAGGAGCACAGACUAUUAGCCCCUGGACCACCCGGGAAGUCCCCCUUGCUUGUUUUAAAUAGCUUAUUGAGAUAUAGUUCAUAUGCCAUAAAGUCCACACAUUUAAAGGGUACGGUUCAGUGACAUCAGUAUGUUCACAGAUACGUGCACCCGUCACUACUAUCUAGUCCCAAGUCUUUUUAUUUUUUUUUUGGCUGUACCCCAUGGCUUACAGGAUCUUAAGUUCUCCAACCAGAAAUCAAAUCUGGGCUCGGGCAGAGAAAGCACUGAGUCCUCAUCACUGGACUGCCAGGGAAUUCCCAGAAUAUUUUAAUUGCUCCAAACAGAAGCCCCUACCAGAUCUGGAGUUCUGGAGCAGUUUGGCUGAGCAGUCCUGAUAUGGGAUUUCUCAGGAGACUGCAGUCAAGAUAUCAGCAGGGGCUGCAUUAUUAUCUGAAGGCUUGACUGGGGCCACUUCCAAAAUGGUGCCCUCACGUGGCUGUCAAUAAGAGGCCUGAGUUUCUCUCCCCUGUGGGACUGUCUCCCAGAGCUGCUUGAGUGUCCGUAUGACAUGGUAGCUGGCUUCCCUCAGAGAAGUGUCAAGAGAACACUGAAGCAACAAUUCCUUUUAUGACCUAGCUUCAGAAAUCAUAGUCAUCUCUGCCACAUUCUCUUAGAGGUCAGUCACUAAGUUCUGCCUCUCAUUCCAGAGGAGGGCAAUUAGGCUCCAUUUUUUUUUUUUUUUUUUGGCUGCUGUAGCAUAUGGGAAUCAAACCCAUGGCCCCUGCAGUGGAAGCGUGGAGCCCCAACCACUGGACCACCAGGGAAUUCUCUAGAUUCCACCUUUUAAAGGUAGGAAGGUCACAGAACUCCUGGAUAUAUUUUGAAACCAUCAUAACAGGCAAUGAUAGAGCUGAGGAGCCAAACAAGAUUGUGAGACAAAGGCAUAGAUUAUCAACAGCAGAAAGAUAUUAAUCCACUUAGGACUAGAGAAAGGAAGGGAGGAAGUAGGACUAUCAGAGCCCAGGAGCCAGGACUAUCCAGUAGAAACUGGACUUUCAGAGGAUCUGGAGCCUCGAACAUGCAGUCACUGGCAGAGAUGCUUCCCAAAGCAGCAAGGGAGACAAAAAUGCCCUGGCUUCUUCCUUCCUCGGCCCUCCAGUCUUCCACCAGUGCCUGCGACUGGCUGAACCUACCAGGAAGCAGAGUGAAAGGGAGCCUGGGAAACAGAUUUCCUUGUGAUACAAAGGUGGGCAGAGAGGGCCAGGAUGGGUGUGAGAUGAAGGUCCUAGCACGGCACCUCCCAGGACGGCUUACUUGAUUAGGUGGUGACAUUAUG